rnacentral:rRNA from 1 species
GCAGCCAUCAUUUAAAGAAAGCGUAAUAGCUCACUGGUCGAGUCGGCCUGCGCGGAAGAUGUAACGGGGCUAAACCAUGCACCGAAGCUGCGGCAGCGAACGUAUCACUUAAAGCGAUUCAGCGGAUGACGAUUGACGGAGCGAAGCGACGUCAAAGCGUAUACAAAGUCGAGUCGGUUUAAGGAUACGUUCGUUGGGUAGGGGAGCGUUCUGUAAGCCUGUGAAGGUGGCCUGUGAGGGUUGCUGGAGGUAUCAGAAGUGCGAAUGCUGACAUAAGUAACGAUAAAGCGGGUGAAAAGCCCGCUCGCCGGAAGACCAAGGGUUCCUGUCCAACGUUAAUCGGGGCAGGGUGAGUCGACCCCUAAGGC